UCGCCUGUUUAACAAAAACAUGUCUUUUUGAAAUUUUUUUAAAGUCUAGCCUGCCCACUGAAUAAUUUUAAAUGGCCGCAGUAUACUAACUGUGCAAAGGUAGCAUAAUCAUUAGUCUUUUAAUUGAAGGCUGGUAUGAAUGGUUGGACGAGAUAUUAACUGUUUCAUAAAAAUUUAUAAUAGAAUUUUAUUUUUUAGUCAAAAAGCUAAAAUAAAAUUAAAAGACGAGAAGACCCUAUAAAUCUUUAUAUAUAGAUUAUUAGAAUUUUGUAGAUUAUUUUUGUUAUAAUAAUUAAUUAUAUUUUAUUGGGGUGAUAUUAAAAUUUAAUAAACUUUUAAUUUUUGAAAUCAUUAAUUUAUGAAUAGUUGAUCCGUUAAUAACGAUUAAAAAAAUAAGUUACUUUAGGGAUAACAGCGUAAUUUUUUUGGAGAGUUCAUAUCGAUAAAAAAGAUUGCGACCUCGAUGUUGGAUUAAGAUAUAAUUUUAGGUGUAGCCGCUUAAAUUUUAAGUCUGUUCGACUUUUAAAUUCUUACGUGAUCUGAGUUCAGACCGGA
rnacentral:rRNA from 1 species